rnacentral:rRNA from 1 species
UACGGGGGGGGCAAGCGUUGUUCGGAAUUACUGGGCGUAAAGGGUGCGUAGGCGGUUUGCUAAGUUGGAUGUGAAAACUCUGGGCUUAACCCAGAGCCUGCAUUCAAAACUGACAAGCUAGAGUUCUGGAGGGGGUAGCGGAAUUCCUGGUGUAGCGGUGAAAUGCGUAGAUAUCAGGAGGAACACCGGUGGCGAAGGCGGCAUCCUGGACCGAGAUUGACGCUGAGGCGCGAAAGCCAGGGGAGCAAACGGG